UUACUGCUGGAGCAGAGCUUCAAAGUGCACAGUGGGGGCUAAGAGUGCCUCCCCGCCCCAACUCAGUUGACAUCUGCCUUCAAAGCUGCCGGCUUGCCUCCAGAGGAGCCACCUGUGGUUAGUGGGACCCUCGCUGACCAUGCAGGGCACACUGUGGGAGA
rnacentral:lncRNA from 1 species